UACAGAGGUCUCAAGCGUUGUUCGGAUUCAUUGGGCGUAAAGGGUGCGUAGGCGGCGCGGUAAGUCGGGUGUGAAAUCUCGGAGCUUAACUCCGAAACUGCAUUCGAUACUGCCGUGCUUGAGGACUGGAGAGGAGACUGGAAUUGACGGUGUAGCGGUGAAAUGCGUAGAUAUCGUAAGGAAGACCGUGGCGAAGGCGGGUCUCGUGGACA
rnacentral:rRNA from 1 species